AUUUAAAUAGUUUAAUAAUUAAAAUAAAGAUUUGUGGUGUCUUAGAUGUUUUUUGCUUAGCUUUAAAUU
rnacentral:tRNA from 1 species